UACAGAGGGUGCGAGCGUUGUCCGGAAUCACUGGGCGUAAAGGGCGCGUAGGUGGCGACCCAAGUCCAUGGUGAAAGCUCGAUGCUCAACAUCGAGUCGGCCACGGAUACUGGGUUGCUGGAGCACUGUAGAGGCAGAUGGAAUUCCGGGUGUAGCGGUGGAAUGCGUAGAUAUCAGGAGGAACACCGAUGGCGAAGGCAGGUCUCUGGGCAUUAACUGACGCUGAGGAGCGAAAGCAUGGGGAGCGAACAGG
rnacentral:rRNA from 1 species